UCAGNUAAGUCUGGAGUAAAAGGCUAUGGCUCAACCAUAGUGUGCUCUGGAAACUGUCUGACUUGAGUGCAGAAGGGGAGAGUGGAAUUCCAUGUGUAGCGGUGAAAUGCGUAGAUAUAUGGAGGAACACCAGUGGCGAAAGCGGCUCUCAGGUCUGUCACUGACGCUGAGGCUCGAAAGCGUGGGUAGCGAACAGGAUUAGAUACCCUGGUAGUNCACGCCGUAAACGAUGAGUGCUAGGUGUUAGGCCCUUUCCGGGGCUUAGUGCCGGAGCUAACGCAAUAAGCACUCCGCCUGGGGAGUACGACCGCAAGGUUGAAACUCAAAGGAAUUGACGGGGGCCCGCACAAGCGGUGGAGCAUGUGGUUUAAUUCGAAGCAACGCGAAGAACCUUACCAGGUCUUGACAUCCCGAUGCUAUUCUUAGAGAUAGGAAGUUACUUCGGUACAUCGGAGACAGGUGGUGCAUGGUUGUCGUCAGCUCGUGUCGUGAGAUGUUGGGUUAAGUCCCGCAACGAGCGCAACCCUUAUUGUUAGUUGCCAUCAUUAAGUUGGGCACUCUAGCGAGACUGCCGGUAAUAAACCGGAGGAAGGUGGGGAUGACGUCAAAUCAUCAUGCCCCUUAUGACCUGGGCUACACACGUGCUACAAUGGUCGGUACAACGAGUUGCGAGCCGGUGACGGCAAGCUAAUCUCUGAAAGCCGAUCUCAGUUCGGAUUGGAGGCUGCAACUCGCCUCCAUGAAGUCGGAAUCGCUAGUAAUCGCGGAUCAGCACGCCGCGGUGAAUACGUUCCCGGGCCUUGUACACACCGCCCGUCACACCACGAGAGUUUGUAACACCCGAAGUCGGUGAGGUAACCUUUUAGGGNCCA
rnacentral:rRNA from 1 species